AGAAUUGUGGUUGACGCGUGGUCAGGCGUUUUUUCCGAUGGGCUUCAGAUGUGAAGUGACACACAGAUGGAAGUGCCGAUGGCAUUUACAGCAGGAGGGAAAAAACUGGCUCCUUUUUUCUUUCUAGCCUACACACUGUUUCUACGUCUCACUCUCUCUCUCUCGCACACACACGUUCACACGCACACACGUAUACACACUCUUACCGUAGCCUACUUACUGUACACCAAGCGCGAGCUCUUCCGGGUCGGUGCAGGCUGCGGAGUAAAAACACACACUUAACCGCAUGGUAGCGAUUACACACAUCCGUAACGAACCUUAUAAACACAGACAGAGGGGACGUGGACUCGCGGGCCGGGGAGAGGAAACAGGUACCGAACGCGUACGGUCAGUAGCACGGCGCUUCUCUCCGUUUGCACUAUGGAGACAAAUACAGAAUAAUACAGGUGUAUAUUGAUCUGCCAUGAAAUGCUUUGCUCUGUUCUCACCGUCUUGUCUUUUCUCUGACGUCUCCAUUGACCUCUCACCUUUGUGGAAACUGUGAGGGCUGAUUAUCUUCAACUCUGCAAAAACCAACAUCAAUCAGAAAAGCAUGUGCACAUACUUGUUUACAGCAUGAAACUAAAGUUUUUAAUAAACGGUUUAUGAAUGCUUUCCCUUGUCUCUCAUAAAAAGUAGUAUCAUAAUUUACAUGCCAAUAUUUUUACAAAUGAUCAGGGGAAAAUUAUUUUUAGAUGUAAUCUGAAACGCAGCAAUAUUGCGACAUUAUUUCACACACAUUUUUGAAAGCAAUACGAAGAAAAUAGCUAUUGGUUGCUGUCUUUGCUGCAUGUAUGUGAAAAUAUGUAUGGAUUAAAAAUCUCUGUUAUGUUUUUACAAAACAGCAACACAAAUAGCAUUG